GAUGAACGCUAGCGGCAGGCUUAACACAUGCAAGUCGAGGGGCAGCACGAGGUAGCAAUACUUUGGUGGCGACCGGCGCACGGGUGCGUAACGCGUAUGCAACCUACCUUUAACAGGGGCAUAACACUGAGAAAUUGGUACUAAUUCCCCAUAACAUUCGAGAGCAUCUUCUAGGUAAACUCGGUAGUUAAGAUGGCAUGCGUUGUAUUAGCUAGUUGGUGAGGUAACGCUCACCAAGGCAACGAUACAGUAGGGGGGACUGAGACGGUUAACCCCCC
rnacentral:rRNA from 1 species